UAGGGAAUCUUCGGCAAUGGACGAAAGUCUGACCGAGCAACGCCGCGUGAGUGAAGAAGGUUUUCGGAUCGUAAAACUCUGUUGUUAGAGAAGAACAAGGACGUUAGUAACUGAACGUCCCCUGACGGUAUCUAACCAGAAAGCCACGGCUAACUACGUGCCAGCAGCCGCGGUAAUACGCAGGUGGCAAGCGUUGUCCGGAUUUAUUGGGCGUAAAGCGAGCGCAGGCGGUUUCUUAAGUCUGAUGUGAAAGCCCCCGGCUCAACCGGGGAGGGUCAUUGGAAACUGGGAGGCUUGAGUGCAGAAGAGGAGAGUGGAAUUCCAUGUGUGGCGGUGAAAUGCGUAGAUAUAUGGAGGAACACCAGUGGCGAAGGCGGCUCUCUGGUCUGUAACUGACGCUGAGGCUCGAAAGCGUGGGGAGCAAACAGG
rnacentral:rRNA from 1 species